GCUGUCGAUAGCCUCGUUGCAAUGUAA
rnacentral:sRNA from 1 species